rnacentral:snRNA from 1 species
AUACUUACCUGGCAGGGGAGAUACCAUGAUCACUAAGGUGGUUCUCCCAGGGCGAGGCUCAUCCAUUGCACUCCGGGUAUGCUGACCCCUGCUAAGUUACAAACGCAGCACCC